CUUAUGGUUGCAACAAUGUUGCAUAUAUGUAAAUAUGUAUGUUUAAGACCAUGAUUAGAAGUACUUAUGGUUGCAACAAUGUUGCAUAUUUGUAAAUAUUUAUGUU